rnacentral:rRNA from 1 species
AGUCGACGAGAAGCCCAUUGAUGUUUAUUGAAGUUUGGAGUGCUUGCACAAAAAAUGGAUUUAGAUGGAUUUGGAUUUUCCUUCUAGUGGCAAACGGGUGAGUAACACGUGGGUUACCUACCUCUAAGCUGGGGAUAACAGUUGGAAACGACUGAUAAUACCGAAUGUGCUCUACGGAGUAAAGAAGCCCUUAAAGCUUCACUUAGAGAUGGGCCUGCGGCGUAUUAGCUAGUUGGUGGGGUAAUGGCCUACCAAGGCAACGAUGCGUAGCCGAACUGAGAGGUUGAUCGGCCACACUGGGACUGAGACACGGCCCAGACUCCUACGGGAGACAGCAGUUAGGAAUAUUCGUCAAUGGGGGAAACCCUGAACGAGCAAUGCCGCGUGAACGAUGACGGCCCUAUGGGUUGUAAAGUUCUGUUGUUUGGAAAGAAUUGUAAGAUUAGGAAAUGAGUCUUACUUGACGGUACCAUUCAAGAAAGCCACGGCUAACUACGUGCCAGCAGCCGCGGUAAUACGUAGGUGGCGAGCGUUAUCCGGAUUUAUUGGGCGUAAAGGGUGCGCAGACGGUUUAUUAAGUCUAAAAUUAAAUCUUGGAGCUUAACUCCAUUCCGUUUUAGAAACUGGUAGACUUGAGUAUGGUAGAGGCAAAUGGAAUUCCUAGUGUAGCGGUGGAAUGCGUAGAUAUUAGGAGGAACACCAGUGGCAAAGGCGAUUUGCUGGGCCAUUACUGACGUUCAGGCACGAAAGCGUGGGGAGCAAAU